AAGUCUACUACACAUUUAUUUUUAUAGAGAACAAUAAGUGAAAUAUCACCACAGAGGCUGCUGAUUUGUUCUGUGUUCAUCAGAAGAAACAUUAAAUACUUCCAGUGAACUGCAGUCUGCUGUCCCGUGUACCAGUGGACAGCGAGCAGUCCAACCUGGAGGACAGAGUGAUGGAGUUGGAGGAACGGCUCAGUGAGACACACAGAGAGUGUGUGAUCAACACCAAGCAGUGUUUUAGGAGUGUGAGCAGGAGUGAGAGACUCACAGUGUCCUGAAGUACCAGUACAAUCAUCUGAGGGAAACUGUAACCUACAGCAAGGAGUCACUACAGGUAUCAAGUGUUUAAAUGUGUGUGUAGACGUCAAUUAAACCAACAAGCUUUUUCUUGUAAAACUUCCAGGUCUUCUGGAUGAAGCUGAGAAGAAACACGAGCAGGUGCUGGAGUCCAGUGUUCAGCUACAGAAAGAGAUCUACAAACUGGUAUCAGACAUGGACUUACUGUAGCCUCAGCUGAGCUGAAAGAGGAAGAGCUUCUUCAGACUAACAGGAAGUGCAGCAGGUUAAUGGCAGAGUGGGAACAGUACCAGGAUGUUUACUGUACCAUGAAGGUGAAGUACGACGGAAUGAAAGAAUCCGUGAAACAUUUGUAGAUUUUCAUCACAGACUUGUACAGAGCAUGUAGCGCCAUCACUUGGCCUGAAAAGCAGCCUAGUGGUCACGUGGUCGGUUAUGGCGCUCAAUAAGUUCCUGAUGUGGUUUCUGUUUGUA